UACGGAAGGCAGCAGUGGGGAAUAUUGCACAAUGGGCGCAAGCCUGAUGCAGCCAUGCCGCGUGUAUGAAAAAGGCCUUCGGGUUGUAAAGUACUUUCAGUCGUGAGGAAGGUGUUAAGGUUAAUAACCUUAGCAAUUGACGUUAGCGACAGAAGAAGCACCGGCUAACUCCGUGCCAGCAGCCGCGGUAAUACGGAGGGUGCGAGCGUUAAUCGGAAUUACUGGGCGUAAAGGGCACGCAGGCGGUUAAUUAAGUUGGAUGUGAAAUCCCCGGGCUUAACCUGGGAAUGGCAUUCAAGACUGGUUAGCUAGAGUCUUGUAGAGGGGGUUAGAAUUCCAUGUGUAGCGGUGAAAUGCGUAGAGAUGUGGAGGAAUACCGGUGGCGAAAGGCGGCCCCUGGGACAAAGGACUGACGCUCAUGUGCGAAAGCGUGGGGAGCGAAACAGGGAUUAGAUACC
rnacentral:rRNA from 1 species